AGUGAACGCUGGCGGUAGGCCUAACACAUGCAAGUCGAACGGCAGCACAGUAAGAGCUUGCUCUUACGGGUGGCGAGUGGCGGACGGGUGAGGAAUACAUCGGAAUCUACUUUUUCGUGGGGGAUAACGUAGGGACACUUACGCUAAUACCGCAUACGACCUACGGGUGAAAGCAGGGGAUCUUCGGACCUUGCGCGAUUGAAUGAGACGAUGUCGGAUUAGCUAGUUGGCGGGGUAAAGGCCCACCAAGGCGACGAUCCGUAGCUGGUCUGAGAGGAUGAUCAGCCACACUGGAACUGAGACACGGUCCAGACUCCUACGGGAGGCAGCAGUGGGGAAUAUUGGACAAUGGGCGCAAGCCUGAUCCAGCCAUACCGCGUGGGUGAAGAAGGCCUUCGGGUUGUAAAGCCCUUUUGUUGGGAAAGAAAAGCAGCAGGUUAAUACCCCGCUGUUCUGACGGUACCCAAAGAAUAAGCACCGGCUAACUUCGUG
rnacentral:rRNA from 1 species